AUUUGCAAUAGAAUAGUGCUUAUCAUACCUGUAUUGACAGCUUCAUUAAGAGUAAUAAUAAUAAUAAUAAUUGUAAUAGUAAUAAUAAUAAUGCCCUUGAUUUAUUUUAGCAAGCCAAACAGAGGUGUCAAUACACUAAACCGACUUCAUUCUUUUUUUUUUCCUUGAAAAAAAACAUAAAUUUAUUAAUAAUAUGACCUUAAUAUAAAUUGCAAUUUCGUAUGAUGAAAUAUAUAAAUUGUAAUUGUAGACUUUAAAUUGUUUAAAUGCAUUGCAUUUGUUGUUUUGAUAUUCCAGAACUCGAAUGGUCAGGAUUAGCAACAUUUCUUGUUUUUUAGCUUUUGAAAUGAUCUUUCUAUGGGAUUUUCCAUCAAACCUUUUUCAUAUCCCCUGUAAUGUAUGAUGUCUAGC
rnacentral:misc_RNA from 1 species